CGGGCAGCACAGAGGGACAAAAAGCAGCAACGGCCUUGAUGGGCGGAGAAAACGCGAAGCAGUAAAUGUACAGUAGUUCAGACCUCUACUGAAAUAAAAAAAAAACUCUUUGCUAUAUAACUACUUCGUCUCUAGGCAGAUCUGUGCCAUUAAAUGUCUGCCAGUUUUACCUGGGAUUAUGAUGUGGAGCAAGUCAGCACUGUGGAACAAAAAUGUCUGUAUUAGCAGGAUGACUUUGCAAAACGAUGUCAAUGUGGUGGUGCAAGCUUUAACCUUUAACCCAGGGUCUCAGGGGAGCUGGAGCCUAUCCCAGCAA